GUGUUUGCAUUGGCUCCACACAUACUAAAUUUUGAACAAUACAGAGAUUGGCGUGGCUCUUGUGCAAGGAUGACACAGAAAUUUAUGAAGCAUUCCGUAUUUUU
rnacentral:snRNA from 1 species